rnacentral:rRNA from 1 species
ACGGAUCCUUCGGGAUUAGUGGCAGACGGGUGAGUAACGCGUGGGAAGCUACCUUGUGGUAGGGGACAACAGUUGGAAACGACUGCUAAUACCCUAUGAGCCCUAUGGGGGAAAGAUUUAUCGCCAUGAGAUGUGCCCGCGUUAGAUUAGCUAGUUGGUAAGGUAAUGGCUUACCAAGGCGACGAUCUAUAGCUGGUCUGAGAGGAUGAUCAGCCACACUGGGACUGAGACACGGCCCAGACUCCUACGGGAGGCAGCAGUGGGGAAUAUUGGACAAUGGGGGCAACCCUGAUCCAGCCAUGCCGCGUGUGUGAUGACGGCCUUAGGGUUGUAAAGCACUUUC